AACGAACGCUGGCGGCAUGCCUAACACAUGCAAGUCGAACGAUUGCCUUCGGGUGAUAGUGGCGCACGGGUGCGUAACGCGUGGGAAUCUGCCCUUAGGUUCGGAAUAACAGCUGGAAACGGCUGCUAAUACCGGAUGAUAUCGCGAGAUCAAAGAUUUAUCGCCUGAGGAUGAGCCCGCGUUGGAUUAGGUAGUUGGUGGGGUAAAGGCCUACCAAGCCGACGAUCCAUAGCUGGUCUGAGAGGAUGAUCAGCCACACUGGGACUGAGACACGGCCCAGACUCCUACGGGAGGCAGCAGUGGGGAAUAUUGGACAAUGGGCGCAAGCCUGAUCCAGCAAUGCCGUGUGAGUGAUGAAGGCCCUAGGGUUGUAAAGCUCUCUUACCCGGGAAGAUAAUGACUGUACCGGGAGAAUAAGCCCCGGCUAACUCCGUG
rnacentral:rRNA from 1 species